CACAGAUACAGUACACAUCACAGGCACGUGCACACCUCACAGACCCAGCACAUGUCACAGACCCAUGCACACCUCACAGACCUGUGCACACCUCACAGAUACAGUACACAUCACAGGCACGUGCACACCUCACAGACCCAGCACAUGUCACAGACCCAUACACACCUCACAGACCUGUGCACACCUCACAGACACAGUGCACAUCACAGACACAGCACACCUCACAGACCCGUGCACACCUCACAGACCCAGCACAUGUCACAGACCCAUGCACACCUCACAGACCUGUGCACACCUCACAGAUACAGUACACAUCACAGGCACGUGCACACCUCACAGACCCAGCACAUGUCACAGACCCGUG
rnacentral:lncRNA from 1 species